GACGAACGCUGGCGGCAUGCCUAAUACAUGCAAGUCGAGCGAACAGAUGAAGUGCUUGCACUUCUGACGUUAGCGGCGAACGGGUGAGUAACACGUAAGGAAUCUACCUAUAAGCGGGGGAUAACAUUCGGAAACGGGUGCUAAUACCGCAUAAUAUCUUCUUCCGCAUGGAAGAAGAUUGAAAGACGGCUCUGCUGUCACUUAUAGAUGACCUUGCGGUGCAUUAGUUAGUUGGUGGGGUAACGGCCUACCAAGACGAUGAUGCAUAGCCGACCUGAGAGGGUGAUCGGCCACAUUGGGACUGAGACACGGCCCAAACUCCUACGGGAGGCAGCAGUAGGGAAUCUUCCGCAAUGGGCGAAAGCCUGACGGAGCAAUGCCGCGUGAGUGAAGAAGGCCUUCGGGUCGUAAAACUCUGUUAUAAGAGAAGAACAAAUUGUAGAGUAACUGCUACAGUCUUGACGGUAUCUUAUCAGAAAGCCACGGCUAACUACGUGCCAGCCGCCGCCGUAA
rnacentral:rRNA from 1 species